UUCAUCGAAUUUUAUCUAAGUGUUUCUGAUGUUAUAUGUACUGUAUUAUUCUCUUUUUCUUUUAUAAAGAUGUUUCUACUAAAAGUGAGUUGUGUCUAUACUUAAAGGAAAAGUAAUGGUAGUGCUUGUACUACAUCAUGGGAUAAUAUUCUGUGUUAAGUUUGUCGGUUUGCUUUCCUUCCCUCUAUAUAAGGGAAAGUUUGUAUCAGUUUGAGGCAAAAUGAAAAAUAAUAUCAGCUCUUUUAUCUACUCCUAUCGCUUGCUAAAUUUCUAUCUUCUCCUU
rnacentral:misc_RNA from 1 species